AGAGUGGCAAUGGAACAAGCCUUGUUAUCGGUCACCAUGGCUAGGGAGGAAGAAGAGAGCUGUGGGGCUUAAUCUACAUAUGGUGCCUGAAUCUCCAUUUCAUAAGGAAAUGCACUUUCUGACUUGUUGACCACAAAGGUACUCUGCCACUGUUAGCGGAAACUAUUAGCCCUUCCUUUCUCAAAAGGAGUUGCGGGGUGUGUGUGUGUGUGUAAACAUAUAUUCAUACCCUACUAUUUGAGGCCAUCAGGUGGUCUGUACAAGAAGACUUUGGGAGGGAUCGAGGAAGAGGAGAGUGAGUGGG